UUUACCAGAAUUACUAUAGUUACUAAUCUCUCCAUUCCCUGAUUGGACCUUCACAUUCUUCUUUUAUCUAUGUUUUCCAGUCCAUAUUUCAAGUCAUUCCAAAUCAUUCCAAAUUUCUGUAUCUUUUUUCACAUGAUGGUGUUUCUGUUUUCUUCCAAAGUUGCCCAUAUUAUAGCUAUAGUAAUUAUGUGUAUUAUCAAAUGUUUUAUUUCUUUAUCUACAAUCUCAGGCAUAAUAUUCAAUUAACAGCUGCAGCUGCUGAGGAGUUUAGUUAUAAAACUCAACUCCUCUUUAAAGAUGUGGACAAUACUGAUGGAUGUUCAAAUCUGCAACUAGUUAGAAAUAUACUGAACAUACUGAGGAUUAAAAGAGACAUUAAUUUGUUUGUCAUAAUGCAAGGUUGCUCAAAGCAACACAUUGCAAAUUAGUUUGCUUUUGUUUGGUGACCCGUCAUCAGGAAAUAAGAAUGGGUGCUUCAUUUGCAGGUUAGGUGUGCAGACAUGACAGCUUUGAAGGACUGCAUAUUUGGAGGAAAGAGUUUUCAUCUCCAUCUAAUUGGGAAUCCUCUCAUCUUGGACCCCAAAAUAUCUCUACAUUGAUAUGAUUAGAUCCAUGAAGCAUCAGCCAUCAUGAACAAUGGACUCCAACACACAAUAAGUCCGAGAUAUACAGAGUUCUUUUGCUCCUGGUUUGGACACAGUCCAGCUAGUUAUUUUAGGACCCCUUGGGUCAACAUGGAGGAUAACUACUGUGCUAAAUGUACCAACAGAAGGAAAAGAUAUCAGGUGGGGAAAAUAAUUAUUGGAAAGUGUGACAUGUUACUCUUCAAUAUAAAUAGCUUCAAUAUGAUAGAAAAUGUAUUCCCCUGUUCCAUCAAAGUCAGGAAUGUUUCAUUUUAAUAGAGCAACCAUGUUGCUUUGCUAAUAAGUAAGGCAAGCAAUUUGGUUGGGGGUUCGAUUCCUAUUGUGCCUCCCUGACUGAGGCCAGACUCAAUACUGAAUUGCUGCGUCAGGAAGUUAGCUCAGUGGUUUAGGUAUCUAGUUGCAGAGACAGAGGUUGGGUGUUCAAUUCUCACUGUGCUUGCUUGAUCGGGGCUGGACUCAGUGAUCCAUAGGGUCCCUUUCAGUUCCGCAGUUCUAAGAUUGUUGUUGUUGUUGUUGUUGUUGUUGUUAUUAUUAUUAUAAUAAAAGUUAUCAGGUAGCUAUAGAACA
rnacentral:lncRNA from 1 species